rfam:Cellulomonas flavigena DSM 20109, complete genome.
CGACCAUCCAGAGCGGCCGAGAGAUCUGGCUCGACGACGCCGCAGCAACCCGCACGGGAGACCGUGGCCGAGGGUGCUACCGCCAGAGACGAUGGGAG